GUCACGAUAGCUCAGAUGGUAGAGUAUCGGCGUAUCUAGCCGAAGAUCGUGGGUUCGAAUCCCGCUCGUGACA
rnacentral:ncRNA from 13 species